rnacentral:rRNA from 1 species
AUUGAACGCUGGCGGCAUGCUUUACACAUGCAAGUCGAACGGUAACAGGCCGCAAGGUGCUGACGAGUGGCGAACGGGUGAGUAAUGCAUCGGAACGUGCCCAGCCGUGGGGGAUAACUACUCGAAAGAGUAGCUAAUACCGCAUACGAUCUGUGGAUGAAAGCGGGGGACCGUAAGGCCUCGCGCGAUUGGAGCGGGCGAUGUCAGAUUAGGUAGUUGGUGGGGUAAGGGCUCACCAAGCCAACGAUCUGUAGCUGGUCUGAGAGGACGACCGGCCACACGGGGACUGAGACACGGCCCAGACGCCUACGGGAGGCAGCAGUGGGGAAUUUUGGGCAAUGGGCGCAAGCCUGAUCCAGCAAUGCCGCGUGCAGGAAGAAGGCCUUCGGGUUGUAAACUGCUCUUGUACGGAACGAAACGGCUCUGGUUAAUACCCGGGGCUAAUGACGGUACCGUAAGAAUAAGCACCGGCUAACUACGUG